rnacentral:pre_miRNA from 1 species
AUAUAAGUCACUGAGGGGAUCUUGUUAAAAUGCAGAUUCUGAUUCUGUUGGUUGAGAUGAGGCUGGAGAAUCUGCAUUUCUGACAAACUCUCACGUGAUACUAAU